UUUUGAGGUGAGUAACUUCUUAUACUCUCUAUUUGAGAGAUUUGCAAGAGAUUUUUAGUGGAAAAUCUAGUUUUGUAGAAACUAGAAUUUGUUUUGGGAUUUUUUAUUUUUGAACCUUGUGGAUGGAAUUGAUGAGUGUAGAACAAGGUUAGUAAAUUCACGAAUUAUUCGCGAAUUAUUCGUGAAUUUUUGAAUAAACGAAUUAAACAGCUGUUUACGUAUUUUUCCCAAAAAUUCAAAAAAAAAACGCAUUUUUUUCGUCAAAAGUAACGGCGCUG
rnacentral:lncRNA from 1 species